ACUAGCGAAUCAUGACAAGCUAAUCAUUUGCCUUAAUCACAAUGCGACUAUCAAAAUUUCGAUUAGUUUUAGUACUUUUGACCGUAGUACUACAUGUUUAACGUGUCUUAUUUGUGCCUCAUAAGGUUAUUACUAUAAGAGCAUAUACCCACAUCGUCGCCCACACUAACUGAAUGUCGAUUCUUGCGCCUGAAAGGUAAAAAUAAAAUGCUUUAAUCAAUAUUUUUUAACUUUCCAUGACCAUGAAAUGCAGUAACGUACAAAAAAGCAGCGCCACGAGAAAGAAUUGCGUUGGAGACCACCUAUAAGAAAGUUUGGUGAAGUUAUCCAAUUGGGUGGAGGAUGCUAAGACAACUAUAUUGGGUGGCUCUAGUAUAUGCGUGAUGUGGCAGCGAGAAGUCCGAGCUACAAUUAAGCAGUACAUGCUCUCCGGGUCUCACUAAUUUGGGAGCUCCAAUUAUGACAGGAUCCCUCUCUGGCAUCGCUACGAAAUACAUAUUUGUGCAUACAAAUAUUUAAAAACACAAGAGAAGCUGGCAAAAGAUCGAGACUUCAAAAACGUCAUGGAUUACGACAUACGGAGUCAUACUUUGCGCUCAUGAGUCUCGACUCUGAAUCUUGUCACAACCUUAUCCUUGUCUCUGAAACAGCUAUGGCGCGUGUGACGUUCGUCUCGACAGUACACAAAGUAUCCUUGUUCAUCCCUUUAAGCGAAAACAUGCGCACUAGAACUAUGGUCAUUUACUUUAAUAUCUCUGAUCUCAUUCUAAAAAAUUUAUAGCUCUAUUAUAAUUUCGAGCCCAUUUUAACAAUGCAAAGAAAACAUUUUACACAUCAAAACAUA